rnacentral:rRNA from 1 species
GUCCUUUUGAGUUUAAUAUAAGGUCUGACCUGCCCACUGAUGUUUUGAAUGGCCGCAGUAUUUUGACUGUGCAAAGGUAGCAUAAUCAUUAGUUUUUUAAUUAAAAGCUUGUAUGAAGGGUUGGACGAGGUAAAAACUGUCUCUAUUUAAUUUAAAUUAGAAUUUAAUUUUUAAGUUAAAAAGCUUAAAUAUAUUUAAAAGACGAGAAGACCCUAUAGAUCUUAAUAUUAAUUUUUUUAAUUUUAAUAAAGAAUUUUUUAUUAAUUAAUAAUAUUAAUAUUUUAUUGGGGUAAUAGAAAGAUUAAAAUAAUUCUUUUUUUAUUUUUACAUUAAUAAAUGAAUUUAUGAUCCAAUAAUAUUGAUUAAAAGAUUAAGUUACCUUAGGGAUAACAGCGUAAUUUUUUUAGAGAGUUCAUAUCGAUAAAAAAGUUUGCGACCUCGAUGUUGGAUUAAAAAUUAUCUUAGGUGUAGAAGUUUAAGAUUUUGGUCUGUUCGACCAUUGAAUUUUU